rnacentral:pre_miRNA from 1 species
AUUCUACUCCCUCCGUUGCACAAUACAUGCCUUGUAUUUAUCAAUAUAUAUAUAUAUAUAUGUAUCUAGACAUGUUUUAGUAUAUAGGUACAUCCAUUUUUGGACAAAUGGAAGUCAAGUAUUUUGGAACGGAGGGAGUACACA